AAUAACUUGAAAUGUAAAGAGUGACUUAAAAAGUUUAUUUUUAACAAUCAAAAAAUUCUAUAGUUCAUAUGUUACGGAAUUCCAUCAUGAAUAAUAAAUAGUCUUAAAAAAAAAAAAACAACUUCUUAGUUUUUCUAAUUUCCAUCUUGCGGUUAAUAUUUAAAAAUUGCUGUUGGCUUAAAAUUUACAGUAAUGAACACAUGGUUUAAAAUAUAUCUUAAAUGGUGGUGGUACACUAUAAACUUUGUAUUUGUUCAAUAGCCAAACAAGUUACA